rnacentral:rRNA from 1 species
GAUUCUGGCUCAGAACGAACGCUGGCGGCGCGUCUAAGCAUGCAAGUCGAACGGCAAGAGGUAGCAAUACCUCCUAGAGUGGCGGACUGGUGAGUAACACGUGGGUGACAUACCCUUCAGAUGGGGAUAGCUAUUAGAAAUAGUAGAUAAUACCGAAUACGAGCACAGGGGUUAGAGAUCUGUGAGGAAAGGAGCUAAGGCUCCGCUGAAGGAAUGGCCUGCGGCCCAUUAGCUAGUUGGUGAGGUAAGAGCCCACCAAGGCGAUGAUGGGUAUCCGGCCUUAGAGGGUGAACGGACACAUUGGGACUGAGAUACGGCCCAGACCCCUACGGGAGGCAGCAGCUAAGAAUAUUCCGCAAUGGACGAAAGUCUGACGGAGCGACGCCGCCGUGGAUGAAGAAGGCCGGAAGGUUGUAAAAUCCUUUUGAAACUGAAGAAUAAGCGUUGUAGGGAAUGACAGCGUGGUGACAGUAGGUUUUGAAUAAGCAACGGCUAAUUACGUGCCAGCCGCCGC